AUGAACGCUAGCUACAGGCUUAACACAUGCAAGUCGAGGGGCAGCAUGGUCUUAGCUUGCUAAGGCCGAUGGCGACCGGCGCACGGGUGAGUAACACGUAUCCAACCUGCCGUCUACUCUUGGACAGCCUUCUGAAAGGAAGAUUAAUACAAGAUGGCAUCAUGAGUCCGCAUGUUCACAUGAUUAAAGGUAUUCCGGUAGACGAUGGGGAUGCGUUCCAUUAGAUAGUAGGCGGGGUAACGGCCCACCUAGGCUUCGAUGGAUAGGGGUUCUGAGAGGAAGGUCCCCCACAUUGGAACUGCGACACGGUCCAAACUCCUACGGGAGGCAGCAGUGAGGAAUAUUGAUCAAUGGGCGAGAGCCUGAACCAGCCAAGUAGCGUGAAGGACGACUGCCCUAUGGGUUGUAAACUUCUUUUAUAAAGGAAUAAAGUCGGGUAUGGAUACCCGUUUGCAUGUACUUUAUGAAUAAGGAUCGGCUAACUCCGUG
rnacentral:rRNA from 1 species